rnacentral:rRNA from 1 species
CCCUUAGAUGUCCUGGGCCGCACGCGCGCUACACUGAUGCAUGCAACGAGUUUAUAACCUUGGCCUGAAAGGUCUGGGUAAUCUUUUGAACGUGCAUCGUGAUAGGGAUAGAUUAUUGCAAUUGUUAAUCUUGAACGAGGAAUUCCUAGUAAACGCGAGUCAUCAGCUCGCAUUGAUUACGUCCCUGCCCUUUGUACACACCGCCCGUCGCACCUACCGAUUGAAUGGUUCGGUGAAGAUCUCGGACUUCGAUAUUUAUUCUUUAUUGAGUUUAUAUUGUGGGAAGUUAUCUAAACCUCAUCAUCUAGAGGAAGGUGAAGUCGUAACA